CUGAUGCAGCCAUGCCGCGUGUAUGAAGAAGGCCUUCGGGUUGUAAAGUACUUUCAGCAGUGAGGAAGGGGUAUCGUUGAAUAGACGGUAUCUUUGACGUUAGCUGCAGAAGAAGCACCGGCUAACUCCGUGCCAGCAGCCGCGGUAAU
rnacentral:rRNA from 1 species